ACACACACACACACACACACACACACAAACGUGUAUACUCCUUUUUAUGUUGCGUUAAACAUUUAAGUGUGUGUGUGUGUGUGUGUAGCGCUGGUGGAGGUGUAUCUCUCCUGUGAUUUGCUCUUUGUGGGGGAGAAUGGUUGGGGGAGAGGAGCCUGCACUGCUACACCUACUGAACACCUGCCACGAAUGGGCCAAUGGGUAAAACACACACAAACACACUCUAUGUGCCCUCUACUCUUCGGUAGAGUAUUACUCGCAGAGUUAGUGUGAAAAUCAAAUGAGCAUUGUAAAGCAUUAUAGAGCACACCCUUCACUUCCUGUAGAGUAUCGCAGUGUAUCAGAAUGAUUGCGUGGAUUGUACAAGAUUGCCCAUUAUAGGGUCAAUUUACCUACAUUGUAGCUCCUGUAUUGUACUACAGUCUAGUUUUAGAAGUAUUAUAGCGCUUUGAAAGGAAAUAGUAGAACUCAUGUAGAAUAUCAUGUGUUGCAGGUCUGCAGACGGUCUGUUAGCUGUUCCCUCGGCUCCUGCUCCGCUCCUGGCUGUGUGUUUAUACACUACGUUCCAAAAGCAGGGUGGUGACACUAAGCAUAUUACAGCAAACCUUCCACUAUCUGACCACAACCGAGAGGUGCUGGUUUACCUGCUGUUCUUCUAUUUAACAGACUUCCUCUCAGCGCACCUGAAACCCCAGGUUGAUAAGGUUUUGAAUCACUCCAAAGAUGUCAGCGUCCACCUUUUGACCCUGUUGGUAGAUUAUUUUGAUUGGCUUUCACUUUUCCACCAAUCACAAUCUGAGCACAUCAUCUACCGCUGCAUCGCCAAGCUGACCCCGGAUACACUCCUCCGACUGAUGCCUUUUGCCCUUUUCAGGUACAGCAGCAGGUGGAGCUUUUCAGCUCUUUAACAGAUAUCACUCUUUACAGGAUCAGAGG
rnacentral:lncRNA from 1 species